GCUCCCGGCCCGGGGGGGAGGAACUACAAGUCCCGUGAAGCCGCGCCGCCCGCCCGCCCGCCGGAGCGGGGCUAUAUAAGGCGGGAAUGGCCCGGCCGCCGCAGUCGGAGCAUCCCUGGCCGCGGCGGUGCCGGUUCCCUGCGCGCCCCGGGGCCGUCCCCGCCGGCAGCCGCCUGCCGGGGGCUCCUCCGCCCCGGGGGGGGGCGGCGGCGCGGCUGUGCCCGGAGCCCCGGAGCGGGAUGUGGAUACUGAGGAUGAGGAUGCCGCUCCCCGCGCCGGGGGAUCCGGGAGCGUUUCGGCGCUGGGGAUGCGGGGGGGAAGCGGCUCGGAGGCGGCGCCGCAGCGGAGGUUUUGGUAGCUUGUCAUUACUGAAAGGGGCAGAUGCUGUCAGCGGCAAUAACUGUUGGACUGUCCUCAUACCUAGAAGCAAGAAGACGAGAGUCUAACCAUCUGCAGGCUUGGGACUUCUCCCCCUCCACCAAGCAAACAGUCCUGAGCCAAGAGGAUUUGUCUCUGGAUGGUUUCUCUCUGCUGGGAUCUCUGGAGUCAUAAGCCCUUGUGGACUGGUGUGGGUUUCAGAUGCACCCUUCUGUCUGUAACUGGGAAUGUCAUGGCCAGAAGGCUGCAGACACCUGCUUCUCUCAAAAUCUGGUGGAUUACUACUUUGGCGUUAUUCUGCCAGUGCUGUGGUUUUUACUAAUCUGGUGGAAUUACCUUCGUUACAUGAAGUCUCCCAACUGGCAGAUGUGGAAAAGCAGCAGUUACAGCCCAACACUACAGUCCCCUCUUUCUCUGGGUGACUUACACUCAGCAUCGUGGCUCUGGAGGAGGAAGGAGUCCACAUGCACGUGUAGGACAAAUCCUGCUGGUCUUAGGGUCUGUGGUGAAGGCUCGGGUUGCCGGGACCUGAGAGGAGACAGCCAAGGCACUGCAGCACUGAUUGUGGCCAAAACACCCAGGAGUACCCCCCCAAGCACAGGCGCUUCAGCUGCAAGCACAGAGACAGGGACAGCAGGGACCAGCAGCUUGCCCUGAGCUCACCAGGGAGCGAUGGAGCAUCAGGGGCUGCGGCGAGCUCCUUCACCCAAUGCCCACUGCCGAAAACAGCUUCCCCACCAGCUGUCCCCUGUACACUUGCUGGGCUCCACGUUCCCGGCCCAGCGAGGGGGGUUUCCUCUGGCACUGACCUCGCUCUCGACUCCCACGCGGAGCCGAAAGGACUUAAUUAGCUGCUCUCCGCUGGGCUUUGGAAAUUAUCCUCUUGGCUGGGAAGCGCUAGUGAUGGAUGGCGAAGUGCUCUUGGGUCAAACAGUAGCUUGAUGCUUUUCCCUGUGAAGGACCAAGUGCUUCCCUGGUUCCAUUGAGCCAGCUGAGGAAUUUUUUCUUUGUUUUACCUCUCUGCUCUUCUUUUUGAUGCCUUCCGGGGUCUCGGGCUUUUCAUGAGGAUGGCUGGACCCAGUGCGCGGCACAUGGUGUUCACAAAGUGCUGAUGCCUGCAGUAGGAGCUGGAGGGGUGAAAGCCUUCGGAGGAGCCAUGGAGUGGAAGCAGAGUCGGCGAUUGCUGUGCUCUGGGGAUUAAAACUGUUUGGCAGAGCCUUGUCUUGUGCCAGGAGUGUUGGGUGGCCUCGGGGGGGUCCUUCUGCCCGUGGGCAGCUGAGCACCCUCGGCUCUGUCACACCCCACACGGAUCCCAGCCCAGGUGGGGCUGGGGAGCGGGCGCAGGAGCGGGGGGAUGCCAAACCGCAGUGAGGGGAACAUCAAGACGGGGGGAAAAUGUCACCCUCAGAAACAAUUAAACUUCUUAAUAAAACCCAUUGCCUCUGUGAGUGCUCGAUGUUCU